CCUUCGGACCAAAAUUGUUGUAUGGCUUGUGUGGGGCGACGGGCACAACGUGAAUCCGUAAUAGGCCAUGGCGGRUGUCUUUUUAAGCAUCCAAGCCAUACAACAAUUUGGGGUUGGGAGGUGAUGGNNNNNNNNNNNNNNNNUGUUUAUGUCGAUGAUNGGUGNGGNGAUUUACACUAAACAUACAUSGAUUUAUAUCCAUNAUGGCGCUUAUCGAUGUAUGGCUUGUGUGGGGCGAGAAACACAACGUGGAACCGUAAAACGAUCUGCAAGGGUUUCCCAAACCACACAAGCCAUANAUUGGUUGUAWGUCGCCAAACAACCACAAUUGUUGUAUUGCUUGGAUGUGUGCGAGAGGCACAACGUGAAUCCGUAAUAGGCCAUGGCGGGUGUCUUUUUAAGCAUCCAAGCCAUACAACAAUUUGGGGUUGGGAGGUGAUGGAUAUAAAUCGAUGUAUGUUUAUUGUCGGAUGAUAUGGUUGCGCGAYUUACACCAAACAUACAUCGAUUUAUAUCCAUCAUGGCGCUUAUCGAUGUAUGGCUUGUGUGGGGCGAGAAACACAACGUGGAACCGUAAAACGAUCUGCAAGGGUUUCCCAAACCACACAAGCCAUACAUCGGUUGUAAGUCGCAAAACAACCACAAUUGUUGUAUUGCUUGGAUGUGUGCGAGNNGCACAACGUGAAUCCGUAAUAGGCCAUGGCGGGUGUCUUUUUAAGCGUCCAAGCCAUACAACAAUUGGGGGGGAUUAUUCUAGCGGGUUUCGUUCUCUUCGUAUCGUGC
rnacentral:misc_RNA from 1 species